CCUACGGGGGGCAGCAGUGGGGAAUAUUGCGCAAUGGGCGGAAGGCUGAACCAGCCAUGCCGCGUGAAGGUCAGUGCCCUAUGGGCGUUAAACUUCUUUUGUGCGGGAGCAAUAAUGGUCACGUGUGGCCAGACGAGAGUACCGUACGAAUAAGCAUCGGCUAACUCCGUGCCAGCAGCCGCGGUAAUACGGGGGAUGCAAGCGUUAUCCGGAUUUAUUGGGUUUAAAGGGUGCGUAGGCUGUGAGGUAAGGCAGCGGGGAAAUGCCCCCGCUCAACGGGGUGAAGUGCCAUUGAUACUGCCUUGCUGGAAUGCGGAUGCCGUGGGAGGAAUGUGUGGUGUAGCGGUGAAAUGCAUAGAUAUCACACAGAACACCGAUUGCGAAGGCAUCUCACGAAUCCGCGAUUGACGCUGAUGCACGAAAGCAUGGGUAUCAAACAGGAUUAGAUACCCUUGUAGUC
rnacentral:rRNA from 1 species